GGUCAAGCUACUAAGGGCACAUGGGGGAUGCCUUGGUGCCAGAAGCCGAUGAAGGGCGUAGCAAGGCUGCGAUAAGCCCCGGAUAGCUGUCUAGCGAGCUUAACCGGGGAUUCCCGAAUGGGUAAACCCGCCUCAAUUUAGAGGCACUUUUUCUGUGAAGAAUUAGAGGUAAGCGGGAGAACUGAAACAUCUAAGUACCCCGAGGAAAGAAAAUCAACCGAGACUCCCUUAGUAGCGGCGAGCGAAACGGGAAUAGCCUAAACCACAUAGUCCUAACGGACUGGGGUCCAAUGACUACGUGGUGUUAUAGGGUCAGUUGUGGAUUGUCCCCAUGACUUUCCGAAAAGUUACAAACCAAACAUUUAGCCGAACAGUCCUGGAACGGCUGGCUAUAAAGGGUGAAAGCCCCGUAGGCGAAAAAUGGUUGGCUUUUCGACUGAUUCCUGAGUACGACGGGACACGUGAAAUCUUGUCGGAAUUUGGUGGGACCACCCUCCAAGGCUAAGUACUUCUGGCGACCGAUAGUGAACAAGUACCGUGAGGGAAAGGUGAAAAGUACCCCGAUGAGGGGAGUGAAAUAGAACUGAAACCGUGUGCCUACAAACCGUGGGAGUCUUGUUUAUACAGGAUGACCGCGUGCCUAUUGAAGAAUGAGCCAACGAGUUACGUUACGUGGCAGGUUAAGGCGUGAUGCGCUGUAGCCGAAGCGAAAGCGAGUCUGAAUAGGGCGUUUUUUGUCGCGUGGCGUAGACCCGAAACCGUGCGAGCUACCCAUGGCCAGGCUGAAGCGAAAGUAAUUUUUCGUGGAGGGCCGAACCCGUG
rnacentral:rRNA from 1 species